rnacentral:rRNA from 3 species
CCUGAUGACAAUAGCAGUCUGGAACCACUCCUUCCCAUCCCGAACAGGACAGUGAAACGGACCAGCGCCAAUGAUAGUGCGGAUUCCCGUGUGAAAGUAGGUCAUCGUCAGGC